UUCUCUCCCACUUCCGCCUCGCUCCGCCUUUUUCACUGCAGGUUCUGUGAUCUACCCACGCGGAUUCGCUCCGAUUAUUCGGGCUCGCCACCGUCUUCCUCCUCUGAAGCUCCGUCGCUCUGACUGUGCGAGUGUGGCAAGGUUCUGAAGAUCGGAGCUAUAACUGUCGGCAUGUAUUGAAAGAUCAUACUGCUGAGGUGUUGGAGGCAGCAAAACGUCUUCAUUUGAAGGAACAUGCUAUAUGUGAUGGUUCUAGAAACAUUUUCAAAUUAGCUGCACCAGUGGAAUGCAAGGGUAUUGUGGGUAGUGAUGACAGGUUAUCCUCUUGGGACAGCUUAUCUUACCUCUUUUUUGUUUGCUGGUUGAUAUGUGAUCAUUUUAAGUCUAACAUCACCUUCUACUCACAAUUUGUUCGAACAAUGUGCUUUCAUUGUUCAUGCCAUUUUGGAUAUUUUCAUUAUCUUGCUGCUUUCCUCCUCAAUAAUUGUUGCAAUUAUAGUUUAGUUC